rnacentral:rRNA from 1 species
CCCUACGGGGCGCAGCAGUAGGGAAUAUUGCUCAAUGGGGGAAACCCUGAACCAGCCAAGUCGCGUGAGGGAAUAAGGCCCUACGGGUCGUAAACCUCUUUUGCCGGGGAGCAAGGGCCGGGACGCGUCCCGGCCCGGAGAGUACCCGGAGAAAAAGCAUCGGCUAACUCCGUGCCAGCAGCCGCGGUAAUACGGAGGAUGCGAGCGUUAUCCGGAUUUAUUGGGUUUAAAGGGUGCGUAGGCGGGCUUUUAAGUCAGCGGUAAAAAUUCGGGGCUCAACCCCGUCCGGCCGUUGAAACUGGGGG